rnacentral:misc_RNA from 1 species
GAAAGAAGUGGGUUCAAAGAAGGUAGAAGGUAGUGCUCCAGAGGGUAUGGUAAUGAACAAAUGGGAAUAUUGAUCUAGUGCACCAGUCUGAUUAUGUAAUGCCUGCAAUGUCAGAUUUUUGCUCUUCUAGGGUUGCUCUUCCUUUUUUUUUUCCGACAGUGUAGUUAUUUUCUAUCCUGCUGUAAAUUCACUACAUAAUCAAAGACACUUUCAUUUUUAUUGUAGGAAACUGUUUGCAUUUAUAGUUGUAACAUUUGGCUGAGAUUUUGAUUACGCUGAACUAGUAAAUAAGAAGCUUGGUACACACAAAAAAAA